rnacentral:rRNA from 1 species
GACGAACGCUGGCGGCGUGCUUAACACAUGCAAGUCGAACGGAAAGGCCCUGCUUUUGUGGGGUGCUCGAGUGGCGAACGGGUGAGUAACAAGGGAGUAACCUGCCCUUGACUUUGGGAUAACUUCAGGAAACUGGGGCUAAUACCGGAUAGGAGCUCCUGCUGCAUGGUGGGGGUUGGAAAGUUUCGGCGGUUGGGGAUGGACUCGCGGCUUAUCAGCUUGUUGGUGGGGUAGUGGCUUACCAAGGCUUUGACGGGUAGCCGGCCUGAGAGGGUGACCGGCCACAUUGGGACUGAGAUACGGCCCAGACUCCUACGGGAGGCAGCAGUGGGGAAUAUUGCACAAUGGGCGGAAGCCUGAUGCAGCAACGCCGCGUGCGGGAUGACGGCCUUCGGGUUGUAAACCGCUUUCGCCUGUGACGAAGCGUGAGUGACGGUAAUGGGUAAAGAAGCACCGGCUAACUACGUG